UCAAGCUAAGAAGAGCGCAAGGGGAAUGCCUUGGCACUGAGAGCCGAAGAAGGACGCGACUAACUGCGAUAAGCCACGGGGAGCCGUAAGUAGGCAUUGAUCCGUGGAUUUCCGAAUGGAGCAAUCCGGCUGGAGUCAUGUCCAGUCACCGUAUUCUGAAUCCAUAGGGAUACGGGGGGAACCGCCUGAACUGAAACAUCUAAGUAGGGCGAGGAAAAGAAAUCAACCGAGAUUCCGCUAGUAGUGGCGAGCGAACGCGGAAGAGGCCAAACCAGAGGUAGCAAUACCUUUGGGGUUCGGACAGCGCACGGUAUGGAAGGUAUCUAGCAGAAUGGCAUGGGAAGGCCAACGAGACAGGGUGAGAGUCCCGUAUGCGAAAGAGAAGAUCCGCCAGCUGAAUCCAGAGUACCGCCGGACACGUGAAACCCGGUGGGAAGACGGGGGGACCAUCCUCCAAGCCUAAAUACUACUCAGUGACCGAUAGUGAAGAGUACUGUGAAGGAAAGGUGAAAAGCACCCCGGGAGGGGAGUGAAAGAGAACCUGAAACCUUGUGCUUACAAGCACCGAGAGCCCGUCAACGGGUGAUCGGGUACCUUUUGUAGAAUGGUCCGGCGAGUGAAUGUAACUGGCAAGGUUAAGGACUUAAGGUCUGAAGCCGCAGCGAGAGCAAGUCUUAAUAGGGCGUAAGAAGUCAGUUGUAUUCGACCCGAAACCGGGUGACCUACCCAUGUCCAGGUUGAAGUGGAGGUAAAACUCCAUGGAGGACCGAACCGACUCCCGUUGAAAUGGUAGCGGAUGAGGUGUGGGUAGCGGAGAAAUUCCAAUCGAACCCGGAGAUAGCUGGUUCUCUCCGAAAUAGCUUUAGGGCUAGCCUCAUAUUAGAUUACUGGAGGUAAAGCACUGAAUGGGCUAGGGGCCGAGAGGUUACUGAACCCUAUCAAACUCAGAAUGCCAGAUAAUUGAUGUAUGGGAGUCAGACAGUGUGAGAUAAGUUUCAUUGUCAAAAGGGAAACAGCCCAGACCCACAGCUAAGGUCCCAAAGUAUGGUUAAGUGGAAAAGGAUGUGGGGUUGCUUAGACAACCAGGAUGUUGGCUUAGAAGCAGCCACUCAUUAAAAGAGUGCGUAAUAGCUCACUGGUCGAGUGACCCUGCGCCGAAAAUUUAACGGGGCUAAAUCAUACACCGAAGCUUGGGAUUGACAGAUAUUCUUCAUGUUUUCAGGCAGGAUAGGAAAGAGAGGAAAUCUGAUGGCGCCGAAGAAUGAGGCGGCAUUAAAUUUCUGUUCAAGUUAAAGCAUGAAGAUGUGAAGAAUAUCUGUCGAUGGUAGGAGAGCGUUCUAUGCGGGGAGAAGUCUGAGCGGAAGCGCAGGUGGACUGCAUAGAAGUGAGAAUGCCGGAAUGAGUAGCGCGAAAUAUGUGAGAAUCAUAUUGGCCGAAAGUCUAAGGUUUUUGGAGGAAGGUUCGUCCGCUCCAAGUAAGUCGGGAGCUAAGGCGAGGCCGAAAGGCGUAGUCGAUGCACAUACGGUAGAUAUUCCGUAACCGCCGAAGGAUUAAAGCAAAGGGACACCUGCGAAGCGUGUAACCCGGGCGAUGGUUGCCCCGGGCGUAAGGGACCGAAAUUUAGUAGGGAAGUACAUGUAGAGCAGGGCGAGAAAAGCUUUGUGUAUAUCCAAGGCGCCCGUACCGCAAACCGACACAGGUAGAUAGGAAGAGAAUUCUAAGGCCAACGGGAGAAGGGUAGUUAAGGAACUCGGCAAAUUGGUCCCGUAACUUAGGGAAAAGGGACGCUCCAGAGAUGGAGCCGCAGUGAAUAGGCCCAGGCGACUGUUUAGCAAAAACACAGGUCUCUGCCAAAUCGAAAGAUGAAGUAUAGGGGCUGACACCUGCCCGGUGCUGGAAGGUUAAGAGGAGAUGUGCAAGCAUUGAAUUGAAGCCCCAGUAAACGGCGGCCGUAACUAUAACGGUCCUAAGGUAGCGAAAUUCCUUGUCGGGUAAGUUCCG
rnacentral:rRNA from 1 species